CGUGUGCUUACAAGUAGUCAGAGCCCGUUAAUGGGUGAUGGCGUGCCUUUUGUAGAAUGAACCGGCGAGUUACGAUUUGAUGCAAGGUUAAGCAGUAAAUGUGGAGCCGUAGCGAAAGCGAGUCUGAAUAGGGCGUUUAGUAUUUGGUCGUAGACCCGAAACCAGGUGAUCUACCCUUGGUCAGGUUGAAGUUCAGGUAACACUGAAUGGAGGACCGAACCGACUUACGUUGAAAAGUGAGCGGAUGAACUGAGGGUAGCGGAGAAAUUCCAAUCGAACCUGGAGAUAGCUGGUU
rnacentral:rRNA from 1 species